UAACUGUUGAUAGCGCGUUGCUUGAGAACUUUUUGUUUCGAUCGACUCGAAAAAGAAUUUGAUUCCUUUAUCUACUUCGUCUAUCUGAUUGGCAUAUUUUUUUUUGUUUAGUAAUCAAACAUUUACAAACGCUUGGUAAUUCGACCAAUGACAGGCACGGAGAAAUUAAACUGCUUCGCGGGAUCUAGCGAGAACUGAGAAGUUAUCAUCAUUCAGUGUGGGCUGAGCCGUCCACGUGGAAAGACAGAGAGACAUUGAUCCCGAGGCUCUCUGCUGAAAAGUGUUCUUUUUUUUUGACCAUUUCCUUCUGGAACCGCAAGAAAAUUACGAGCAGAAUCAUAUUACAACAAAGAAAGAAACGAGAUAAGAAAUUUGCUUAUUUCAUUAAAAAUUUCUGUUCAAAUCUCGCGCGAAUUGUAGUUCUUCGAAACAUAUUAAACCACUGCAAAUUGUUCUUUGGUUUGAUUUUCGGUUUCUAUUCAUAUCCGGGAUUUAUGGAUUAAAUAAAUUUAUUCUAACUAGACGAUUAAAUAAAUAAAUGAUCGACACGUCUAUUUUGACGGUAAAAAGUAACAAAAAAAAAAAAAAAUCACAGUCACAAAAAUAACUGUAAGAACGUAAAGGGGGAAAUAUACAGUGGGUGGUGAAGUUCUUUAUAAAAAGUUAUUAAACUUUUUGGCGGCUGAUAACAAUAAUUGUGUUGCAUAUAUAGUAGACACAUUGUUUUGAAAAGCCUAACGUGAUACCAAAGAUUCAACAAAAAAAAAAAAAACGUAAAUAGCAUGCCAAAUCAAAAAUGGGCUCUGAAAAAAUGCAGUGGUCUUAUCCUACUAUGCUUAGCCACCACGCAGUGGCUGCAGACGUGCGGAAUUCCCGUGAGAGAAAGAUCGAAAAGAGAAGCGGAGAUUGCGAAUACAAAUUGGACCGGACUUGCGGAUGAAUGGUUGAUGGCAAAGGAAAGGAUAGCGAACAGGAUGGGAAUCCCUUUACUUCCAAAUAGCAAUACGACGCACGAAGUUCCAAUAGUUGAAAUUGUCGUAAACGGUACAAAUAAUGACCCCGAGCAACUUUCGCGGUUCAAUUACUCCCGGAUGCUCUGGGAUUUGGAGUCCUCUCAAAAGUCUGGUCAUCUUUCGGGAUUCGUUGACAAGGCACUCAAGCUUUUGGAUCUGAGGCAAGUGAUGAUGGAAGUUGAGACAUCGGUAAUGUCGAAGGUCUCUUGUACAGCUUGCAAAGUCGGCGCUGGACUUCUUCAGCAUUAUAUCAAAAGUGGGAAAACUGAGGAAGAAAUAAUGGCUAGCAUAUAUCAAUUUUGUGUAUCGCUGAAGAUACAAAGUCCCCGGGUAUGCCAGGGCGUUACGUUGCUUUUUGGAGGUGAGGUCAUCUACGUGUUGAAGCAAAUCAGUAUGGGGCCAUCGCAGAUUUGUAGUUUCGUUAUCGGCGAUGCUUGCGACGAUGCUUAUAAUCCUCAACACGAGUGGGAAGUUGCUUUUCCUCCGGUCAACAAACCGCCGAUACAACCACCGAUUCCUCCUAUCGAAGGAGCACCGACCUUCAAGGUGCUCCACAUAUCGGACACCCACUAUGACCCCUAUUAUCAGGAAGGAACAAACGCUGAUUGCAACGAACCUCUUUGCUGUAGACUAACGAACGGCGCACCGUUAACGGCAUCGGCAGCAGCCGGAAGAUGGGGGGAUUACAGAAAGUGCGAUACACCCAAGAGAACUGUAGAUCAUAUGUUGAAACACAUAGCAGACACACAUUCGGAUAUAGACUACAUCUUAUGGACGGGUGAUUUACCACCUCACGACGUAUGGAACCAAACUAGAGAAGAGAAUCUUCGAAUUUUACGCGACACCGUUACCCAAAUGAUCGAAAUGUUCCCUGGAAUUCCGAUAUUUCCUGCUUUAGGAAAUCACGAGAGUGCUCCCGUAAACAGCUUCCCUCCGCCCUUCGUACCUGAAGAGAACAGUAUCUCUUGGCUUUAUGACGAGCUUGAUAAGGAGUGGAGAAGAUGGCUACCUGCGGGAGUAUCUCAUACUGUAAGACGCGGGGCAUUUUAUUCUGUUCUCGUCAGACCAGGGUUCAGAAUAUUGUCGGUGAACAUGAAUUAUUGCAACAACAAGAACUGGUGGUUACUGAUAAACAGCACGGAUCCGGUCAGUGAACUUCAAUGGUUGAUUUACGAACUUCAGGGGGCUGAAAUAAACGGUGAAAAAGUUCACAUAAUCGGACACAUACCGCCAGGACAUUCGGAUUGCUUGAAAGUUUGGUCCAGGAAUUAUUACCACAUAAUCAAUCGUUACGAGUCGACAAUCACUGCCCAGUUCUUUGGACAUACUCAUUAUGAUGAGUUUCAGUUAUUCUACGAUACAACGGACCUUGGAAGGGCCCUUGGCGUCGCAUACAUAGGGCCAUCAGUUUCACCUUACAUUGAUCUGAACCCCGGAUACCGAAUAUACUACGUCGAUGGCGAUCAUGCGAAAACUACUAGGAUGGUCGUCGAGCACGAGUCGUGGGUGAUGAAUCUGAAAGAAGCAAAUCUAUACGACUAUCCAAUAUGGCAAAAAAUGUACACAGCUCGUCAAGCCUACCAGAUGGCAUCGCUUUUGCCCCGUGAUUGGGACUCUUUGAUCGAUAAAAUGACUAACGAACCGUCGCUUUUUGACCUUUACUACAAGCACUACAACAAAAAUUCUCCGGUCAGACCCGCGUGUAAUGACGAGUGUCGCAAGCGUUUACUUUGCGAUUUACGAAGCGGUAGGAGUCACGAUAGAAAAGCACUUUGUCAGAGUUUGGAAUCCAGAAUAGACGGAGAAACUAGAACUGGAUGGAGAGCUUGGAUAUACAACGGUCUAGCACUAUCGUACGUACCACAAUGGUGGUUUAGACCUAACCAUGCUGGUGAUGCGGAAACUAAUCAAGUUGAUACGUGAUGAUAACGCUAAUAAACCCUAUCUGAUCACAUUUUAUUUCAUUUUCCACUCUCCUUUUAUAUGUAUAUUAAAUUAUAUAUAACAUAAAUGAAGGAGCCAAGUUGGAUAGCACUCAUUAUCUCACCAUUGUCACAAUCAUCAUUCAUUUCAUAAUCGAAAAAAAAAUUAAUAUCAUCAUUAUUGUAAAGAUUAUGGUUUCACACGAGGUUGGUGAUGGAUUGAUGUAAAUAAAUUUGGAAAUUCAUGUAAGAGACAUUCUGAUUACGUUAAAUAUGUGUACUAUGGUGAUUGGAUUUUCAUCUGGCGGGUAUCAGACGGUAAUUUAACACAAUUGGUAUCAGUUGUCAUGGCGAUUCCAAGAUUUGCUUACAACUUACCGAAAUAUGUCCUGGGUCUCGGGUAAGCGAAAAAA
rnacentral:misc_RNA from 1 species